AUAGCCGGUUUUUACGCACGCGGUCCUUACCAAUUUCGUGUAUUCCUCGUGUAUUUUACAACUGGAGGCAUAAGAAAAAGUUGCAUAAAAUGAAUACUGACAACGAACGCAAACAAGAAAGGCUUCGAAUAAGGAGGGAUCGAGAGAGACAAGCAAGAGCCCAAGAAACAGCUGAAGAGAAAGAAGUCAGGCUAGCCAAACGCAGAGAAAAGCACAGGGCACUCAAGAUUCAAGGUAACCAUUGCACUGGAUGCCAAUAGAGCAUCCCAGCAACUGAGACGGGACACAGAGACUCCUGAGGCCAGGCAGGCACGCCUACAGCAAAUGGCUGCUUCCACCCAAACCAGCAGAGCUUCAGAUACUCCUGAGGCCAGACAGGCACGCCUACAGCAAAUGGCUGCUUCAACUCAAACCAGCAGAGCCUCGGAGACUCCUGAGGCCAGACAGGCACGCUUGGAACAAGACAGGCAUAGGUAUUCACAACACAUAGAUGUGAACCACCUGUACUGCUAACACGCUCGCCCCAUGACACCUUGUGUCACCCUAGUUUUACUA